rnacentral:rRNA from 1 species
GCUCUCCGUUAUGACUGGGCUACACACGUGCUACAUGGAUGGUACAAAGGGCAGCGAAGCCGCGAGGUGUAUUAAAUCCGAUAAAACCUUUCUCAGUUCGGAUUGCAGGCUGCAACUCGCCUGCAUGAAGCCGGAAUCACUAGUAAUCGCGGAUCAUCAUGCCGCGUUGAAUACGUUCCCGGGCCUUGUACACACCGCCCGUCACACCACGAGAGUUGGCAACACCCGAACUCGGUGAGGUAACCUUUUUGGAGCCUUCCGCCGAAGGUGGGGCCAAUGAUUGGGGUGAAGUCGUAACAAGGUAGCCGUAUCGGAAGGUGCGGUUGGAUCACCUCCACA